CAGAGCACCAUCUGCUUUCAUUGUGGAGUUUCAAUAAGCGGAAAAGCAUGCAUACAUUACAUUCAUCACUCCCCAGAUAGUAACAAUGCAAAAACUGGACCUGAAACAAUAUCUGGUUCUCUUUCCACUGAAGCUGCCUGACCUGCUGAGUGCUGCCAGCAUUCUCUGUAUUUAUUUCAGAUUUCCAGCAUCUGCAGUUUUUUUUUUCUCAUUUUGCAAUCACUUUGUUUGACCUGCAGGGUGCUUGGCAGGCCAAGUUUGAAAAGGAAAAUUAGUGCUACAGUUUCAAAUGCUCAAAGGCCAAGGGGAGAAUGGACUCAAGUGUGCAUCACAUUGCUGCUUUAAGUUGUCUUGCUUUCCUCUGCAGUGUCAGGUGAUGUCAGCCAGGUUAGAAGCCUGACAAGGUCAGAUUUCUCUACCCCACGCCUGGAUUAUUAUACAGGGACAAUUCCUUUCGACUGAAAUACUUUCUUGUAAAUCGAGAGGCGGUCUUGAUUUUUCUGUCCGUACUUCUCUGCACGGGGUUUAGAUUAUUAGGCGAUGGCAAUUCAGUUUGACUGGAACGCUUCCUUUCAAAUCAGGAGCAGUGAUUAGAAGAGUUUGCAUGAGGAGCCUGCGAUGUAUCUGUCCAUCAGACAAGCUCCUGCUUUUACAGAGAGUGCCUCUGUGGAAUGCCUAGCUGCCUGGAUGCCUUGUGACUAAUCAUGUGGAUAUUCAAACAUUCACGGGAGCAGUUACACAGUAGCACGACAAGAAUAGGAUAAGUGUCUGAUCAGUAUCAGGGCCUUCCAUCUUCUGCAUUGCUUCUGUUAAAUGGGGUGGUCUAAUGUAGUUUUGUUAUUAAUGUUGUCAGCCAGGCCCAGUGGCAUUAUUUCAUGUGCAGUUGUGAAACUGACACCGAUCACCCACUUGAAUUUUUUGAUACAUUAAACACAGCAAAAACACAGAAAUCUCAUCACAAAUUAAUCGAUUCCAUUUUGUUUCUUUGCUGUCAGGUUUUCCAUUCUUAAAUCUUGCUUGUUGCAAAUCUUUGUUCUUACUGCCUUAAAAAGAAAUAAUAAUUUAUGGGAGUUUUCCUUUAAUAAGAGUUUUCAAUUCUUGUUACUCUUGGGUUGCGCAGUGGUAGAGUUGCUGCCUUACAGUGCAUUUAGUUCCAGAGACCUGGGUUCGAUCCUGACUACGGGUGCCGUCUGUACGGUGUUUGUACGUUCUCCCCGUGGCCACAUGGGCUUUCUUCGAGAUCUUCGGUUUCCUCCCACAUUACAAAGACGCACAGGUUUGUAGGUUACUUGGCUCGGCAUAAACGUAAAUUGUCCUUAAUGUGUGUAGGAUAGUAUUAGUGUGCGGGGAUCUCAGGUCGGCACGGUCCCAGUGGGCUGAAGGGCCUGUUUCCAUGCUGUAUCUCUAAAUUAAACUAAACCAUUCAGUUAUUGGGGUUUAAAAGGUUUUUAGAUAGGCGCAUGGAUGUGCAAGGAUUGGGGCAUAUGGAUUACGUCCAGACAGAAGUGAUUAGUCUAAUGUAGCAUUAUGUUUUGCACAGACAUUGUGGGCUGAAGGGCCUGUUCAUGUGUGGUCCUGUUUUAUUUUCCAUGUCCUUAUUCACCUGAUUUGCCUUGAAUCUUUAGCGAUCUAUCAGGAUUGCAACAGACUUUUAUCAAUAACAAAUUCAAUAAAAUGCUCAAAGCAUUGUUCAGUGCAAGUUAACAAAAAAGUAAGAAUCUGUAUCCCAUCAUGAGGUAAAAACUGACGAAGGGACCCAGACCAGAAACAUUAAGACUCCUUCCCUUUCCUUAGAUGUUCUGAUCUGCUGAGUGUUCACAGUGUUUUCUUUCCCAUUUCCGAUUUCCAGCCACUGCAGUUUUUUUCCAUUUUCAUCUCCAUCACUAAAAUAGUUACUUCCUUGGGGAUAAAGUUGGUGUAUUUAGUUUUUGUUCAAUGAUUAUUUGAACAAUUCACCUUUAACCUGUUUUCCUGCCGAGUUCUAGAUCACGGGAUUGGUAAAUUGCAACGGACUAAUUUGAAUCUCACACACAUGUCAAAACUGAUUGCAUUGGACAUGUUGGGGAAAUUGGGUGUAAGUUGUGUUUGAAAUGGAGGUAUUUACCUUAAAAAACAUUUCAACUUUACAUUGAAUUCACUGGGUAAGCAGAAGCACAAAUGUUUUCAUGAGCAAAUACAAUCAGCAUAAUGGGAACUUCUUUAAUUUUUCAAUUGCAGUUUUCAAAUAAAAGUGAUUCAAUUGUUUAUGAGCAUUUUCAUUUCAACCUGGAGCUACCUCAUUUAAUACUAGUUAAAAAAUAAACACCAUUGAACCAUUUACUAUUGGUGUACGUUGCUCAGUUCAUGAAUAAAUAUUAUUUGUGAUAUCUAACGUGCCUGUUAGUCACCAAUGCACUAAAAGGGCUCCUGUUUGUAGUUUGUUUGGUUUGUUUGUUUGUCUUUUUGCACAAAGUCAGCGAGCAUUGCCCCUUUUCAUUUCACUGCACAUCUUGUAUGUGUAUGUGACGAAUAAACUUGACUUGACUUGACUUGAAUCUCCUAAAAUUGCCACAAACUGGCCCCCACCACCAGAAACCCACAAUUUUCAUUAUUUGAAAAGUGGCUGCUUUUGUUUGCAAUUGCAACAUGUUAAGCCAUAGUAAAAGGUCAGAGAAUCUUGGCAUGUUUAAAAUUCCUUGAUUUUUUUAAUGCUGGUUUAGCUAACUGCAUUAAUGCAGACAGACUGCAAUAAUAAAAUCACGAUUACAGGAACUGCAGACCACAACAAUUUUGACGUGGACAUUCUGUGAAUUUCCCAUGAUGUAAAUAAUAAUGUCGUCGUGGCUAUCCCUCGAGGUCGAGUAUGAUGUCGUUCUGUUGAUUUGUGCAGCUCACAGAACGAAGACGCCUGUGCGUGUGUUUGUUUAACGUGUACUCCAAGAUCCUUCACAAAUCAAUCAACUCAUUCCAAUGGCAAGGGAACCAAGACGAUUGGAGCUGAUAGAUCUGUUGCAGCCUUCAUCGUCAUUCACAGCCGUUGAGUUCAAGAUAACUUUGCCCGCCUGGUCAGCCGUUGAGGUCUUGUAGGUUGAAUCGUUCUUAGUCUGGACCUUCAUCCUCAACCUUACCACCAUGGGUGGCCCUACCAGAAGCUGAUGCUUCCGACGGCAUAAUUCUCUCGGAAUCAUUGGGGCAUGCAAGCUUCUUCACUACAACAAGAGUUGUGUGACUCACAAAGGAGUCAUCGCUGACAGAUCGCCAGGCUAUGAGAACGCCCAACAGAUGUGCACAGUGUUUACGAAGGAACUGCAGAUGUUGGUUUAAACCGAAGAUAGACACAAAAAGCUGGAGUAACUCAGCGGGACAGGCAUCAUCUCUGGAGAGAAGGAAUGGGUGACGCUUCGGGUCGAGUCCUGAACUGACAGUUGUGUCACUGUAUUUUUGCUGGUGCUCAUUUAAUUUGCAUUCAGAGGUCUCUACUGGUGAAUUAGUCCCCAAUAUUUCAAUAUCUCAAUUUGCUUCUCUUAGACCUGGCAGCUAAUUACGUUCAUAGAAAAGUGGAUCCUUCAUGUUACUCUGGGGAUAAAUAAUGUGCAUUUGUGUAGAGCAAAUGCAAAUGGCUGUGUCAGUCUGAAGAAGGAUCCAAUGUUGUCUGUCCAAUUACCCCCCUGAUGCUGCUUAAUCCGUUGAAUUCCUUCAACACUUUGUUUUUUGUUUCACAAUUGCUGGUUUCUGGUAAUCUUAUUUAAACACACAAGCUGAAACACUAACAUUUCCAUUUUCAAAAUUUUGAGCACCUAAAACAUGUUUGUUUUAAAUUGAUUGCCUGCACCAAUAAAUGAUUUUAAGGAUGAAAUAUUCAAUUGAUUAUAUUAAAUAUGAUUCUUUUGAAAGUUAGCCAAACAUCUAUAUGAAGACUCCAACCUUUGAUUUUGUAUUUUAUUAAAAAAGAAAGUUCCCCAUCGUCUUACAUUUAUGCAUACAUAUAAUGUAUAAACAUUCUGUCAUUAUUCUUCUUUUGUUGAAUUCCUUUCAAUGCAUAUUUCUUUCUGUCUGUGAGACUAUAUUAUGCAAUCCUGCUUCUAAAUAAAGGAUAUAAUUUUUCUAAAGUUUAUAGAACACCAAAAAUGAUCCUCUGACCAUACAAAGCUAGAUAGAA